AGCAACUAUACGGUGAAACUGCGAAUGGCUCAUUAAAUCAGUUAUCGUUUAUUUGAUAGUACCUUACUACAUGGAUAACCGUGGUAAUUCUAGAGCUAAUACAUGCUAAAAACCCCGACUUCGGAAGGGGUGUAUUUAUUAGAUAAAAAACCAAUGCCCUUCGGGGCUCUCUGGUGAUUCAUAAUAACUCAACGAAUCGCAUGGCCUUGCGCCGGCGAUGGUUCAUUCAAAUUUCUGCCCUAUCAACUUUCGAUUGUAGGAUAGAGGCCUACAAUGGUAUCAACGGGUAACGGGGAAUUAGGGUUCGAUUCCGGAGAGGGAGCCUGAGAAACGGCUACCACAUCCAAGGAAGGCAGCAGGCGCGCAAAUUACCCAAUCCCGACACGGGGAGGUAGUGACAAUAAAUACUGAUACAGGGCUCUUUUGGGUCUUGUAAUUGGAAUGAGUACAAUCUAAAUCCCUUAACGAGGAACAAUUGGAGGGCAAGUCUGGUGCCAGCAGCCGCGGUAAUUCCAGCUCCAAUAGCGUAUAUUAAAGUUGUUGCAGUUAAAAAGCUCGUAGUUGAACCUUGGGCCUGGCUGGCCGGUCCGCCUCACCGCGUGCACUGGUUCGGCCGGGCCUUUCCUUCUGGGGAACCGCAUGCCCUUCACUGGGCGUGCCGGGGAACCAGGACUUUUACUUUGAAAAAAUUAGAGUGUUCAAAGCAGGCCUUCGCUCGAAUACAUUAGCAUGGAAUAAUAGAAUAGGACGUGCGGUUCUAUUUUGUUGGUUUCUAGGACCGCCGUAAUGAUUAAUAGGGAUAGUCGGGGCCAUCCGUAUUCAAUUGUCAGAGGUGAAAUUCUUGGAUUUAUUGAAGACGAACUACUGCGAAAGCAUUUGGCAAGGAUGUUUUCAUUAAUCAGUGAACGAAAGUUAGGGGAUCGAAGACGAUCAGAUACCGUCGUAGUCUUAACCAUAAACUAUGCCGACUAGGGAUCGGACGGUGUUAUUAUUUUGACCCGUUCGGCACCUUACGAGAAAUCAAAGUCUUUGGGUUCUGGG
rnacentral:rRNA from 1 species